rnacentral:rRNA from 1 species
GAUGAACGCUGGCGGCGUGCCUAAUACAUGCAAGUCGAGCGAAUGGAUUAAGAGCUUGCUCUUAUGAAGUUAGCGGCGGACGGGUGAGUAACACGUGGGUAACCUGCCCAUAAGACUGGGAUAACUCCGGGAAACCAGGGCUAAUACCGGAUAACAUUUUGAACCGCAUGGUUCGAAAUUGAAAGGAGGCUUCGGCUGUCACUUAUGGAUGGACCCGCGUCGCAUUAGCUAGUUGGUGAGGUAACGGCUCACCAGGGCAACGAUGCGUAGCCGACCUGAGAGGGUGAUCGGCCACACUGGGACUGAGACACGGCCCAGACUCCUACGGGAGGCAGCAGUAGGGAAUCUUCCGCAAUGGACGAAAGUCUGACGGAGCAACGCCGCGUGAGUGAUGAAGGCUUUCGGGUCGUAAAACUCUGUUGUUAGGGAAGAACAAGUGCUAGUUGAAUAAGCUGGCACCUUGACGGUACCUAACCAGAAAGCCACGGCUAACUACGUGCCAGCCGCCGCCGUAA